GGAGAUGAUUGCGGGUCCCAUGGGAGUUCAGGAAUCCUGAGAGGGUUCAGGGUCCUGGGACCCCACAGACACCUGUCCACUCCUUCCUUUGAAGCUGCCAGGAAGAACCAAGAAAGGGCCCCCCUGGAUCCCCUGGCCCCCCCAGAGGAGGGGGAGGUGCUGUACACCCAUGUCGUGGUCACCAAGAGAGCAGGGGCGUCCCCCCGUGCCACCACCCUCCAGGAUCCCCAGGUGACCUACACAGAGCUGCAGAGACCCCAGGGGCCACCGCUGGAACCCAGUGACAUCUACGGGAAUGUGCUGUGACACUGAGGGGGAACUGGGGGGCACUGAGGGUCCCCACCCAUGGGCACCCACUCGUGUCUGUGCUGCCACCAAAACUGCCCCUCUCCCUCCUUGUGGAAGCACAAGGAUCCCAAAGGGCUGAGAGAAGAACAAUU